CCUCUGGAGCAGGACAGGAAGGAGGGAUACCCACUAGGCUAUUAGUCCUUCGAGUGAUCUCAUCCUGCAGGAGAACUGCUAACGUGGAGCCAGUGGACUCCUCUCCAUCCGAGCACAUAGCAGCCUGCUACAAAGAGACGGUCUUUCUCUGUGACCAUUUGGACGUUUGGCUGGAUCUCUCCAAUGCUUAGGCAUCUCUGCCUUUGGGACAAGCUCUUCAUGAAAUCCUCACAUUGGACUCGGACAGAAGACCAAGAAUGAACCAUCAGUACACACCCAGAGUCACCCAGCUGCUGAAGCUUGGAGCUGAGGCCCAUUCCCAACCGGAACACACCCAUUCCCAUUGAUCAAGAAACUAAGGCUCUGAAAAGUUAGGCUAUCAUUCAAGAUUAAGGUACUCAAAGCUCAAGCGCCUGGUCCAUGCACAGCUUCAAGGACUUGAACCUGACCUGAGUGUCCAGGGAAUGAGGAAAAGACUAACAGAGACAGACACACAUAAGAACAGGGAUUGGACAGGGCAUUGCAAACAGUGGACUCCUGGUAAAUGCCUGUUGAUCUGAGGUGUGUGUGACGCAGAGUGAGCUGAGCACAAAGACCAGGUUGAAACGCCUGUUUCCCUUGACUCCAGGCAAGUGACUUAAUCCUUGUCCUUCAGCAUACUCACUGGGCAAUGGGAUGACAAUAUGUACCACCAUGGGAUUGUUCUGAGGAAAUAAAUGAAAUGGAA